rnacentral:rRNA from 1 species
CCUACGGGAGGCAGCAGUGAGGAAUAUUGGUCAAUGGGCGUAAGCCUGAACCAGCCAAGUCGCGUGAGGGAUGAAGGUUCUAUGGAUCGUAAACCUCUUUUAUAAGGGAAUAAAGUGUGGGACGUGUCCUGUUUUGUAUGUACCUUAUGAAUAAGGAUCGGCUAAUUCCGUGCCAGCAGCCGCGGUAAUACGGAGGAUCCGAGCGUUAUCCGGAUUUAUUGGGUUUAAAGGGUGCGUAGGCGGCCUUUUAAGGCAGCGGUGAAAGUCCGUGGCUCAACCAUAGAAUUGCCGUUGAAACUGGGAGGCUUGAGUGUGUUUAAGGCAGGCGGAAUGCGUGGUGUAGCGGUGAAAUGCUUAGAUAUCACGCAGAACCCCGAUUGCGAAGGCAGCCUGCCAAGCCAUGACUGACGCUGAUGCACGAAGGCGUGGGGAUCAAACAGGAUUAGAUACCCCAGUAGUC